rnacentral:rRNA from 1 species
UACGGAGGGUGCAAACGUUGCUCGGAAUCAUUGGGCGUAAAGCGCACGUAGGCGGCCUGUUAAGUCGGGUGUGAAAGCCCUGGGCUCAACCCAGGAAGUGCACUCGAAACUGGCAGGCUUGAAUAUGGAAGAGGGUCGCGGAAUUCCCGGUGUAGAGGUGAAAUUCGUAGAUAUCGGGAGGAACACCAGUGGCGAAGGCGGCGACCUGGGCCAAUAGUGACGCUGAGGUGCGAAAGCGUGGGGAGCAAGCAGG